UCUUAUGUACAUACCUAUAACAUUAAUGCACACUGGAUCCCAUCAGAACUCUGCAGUUAAGCACACUUGGGCUAGAGUAAUAUUGGGAUGGGUGAGCUCCUAGGAAGUCCUAGUGUUUUACAUGCC
rnacentral:rRNA from 1 species